AUUGAACGCUGGCGGAAUGCUUUACACAUGCAAGUCGAACGGCAGCACGGACUUCGGUCUGGUGGCGAGUGGCGAACGGGUGAGUAAUGUAUCGGAACGUGCCCAGUCGUGGGGGAUAACGUAGUGAAAAUUACGCUAAUACCGCAUACGAUCUAUGGAUGAAAGCGGGGGAUCGCAAGACCUCGCGCAAUUGGAGCGGCCGAUAUCAGAUUAGGUAGUUGGUGGGGUAAAGGCCCACCAAGCCAACGAUCUGUAGCUGGUCUGAGAGGACGACCAGCCACACUGGAACUGAGACACGGUCCAGACUCCUACGGGAGGCAGCAGUGGGGAAUUUUGGACAAUGGACGAAAGCCUGAUCCAGCCAUUCCGCGUGCAGGAUGAAGGCCCUCGGGUUGUAAACUGCUUUUGUACAGAACGAAAAGGUUUCUACUAAUACUAGGAGCUCAUGACGGUACUGUAAGAAUAAGCACCGGCUAACUACGUGCCAGCCGCCGCAGUAA
rnacentral:rRNA from 1 species